UCCCCUCGGUUGUCGUCGAUGAACAUUGGUGUCAAAAUGUGUUAUUGGUUUGUGAAUUUGUUGUUGGGUAAAGCAAUGUAAUUUGCACCGAAAUGGAAGAGCCCUUUUAUCCAUCAGUUUCUGUUUCUCAUGGGUUUGAGAGCUGUAAAUGGAGGACCAUGGAAUGCCUAUUUAAAUAUGCCUAUGGGCAGGGUGUUUCUUUUUUCUUUCAGCUUCUUUCUUCUUCUUAUUUUUUUCUUUGGAUCUGCUUGUAUUUAUGUGGUGAUUGUCAUCUUCUUUGUUUAUCCGUAAUUUCUUUUGCUUUUUGGUGUACUCAUGUUGUU